rnacentral:lncRNA from 1 species
GAGGGAGUCUGCAUUCAGAAACAGAAAGUGUAACCACUUUUAGUGGUCUUGGGUACUACAGAAUGUUUUGCAGGGUGUACAGACCUGAUGGCUGCGCCAUGUUUGGGCUGUGGUAGCAUUUGCCUUUUUGCUACUGGUAUAUUUAACUGUUGAAAAUUGCCCAACUAAGGAUUACUAUUACAUAUCACUGCAAAGCGAUAUUCAAAUACACCUCAUGAUGGAUGAGGCGCUAGUUAUCAGAUAAAGGUAUUUUAUCUGAUGAAUUUUUCGCAUUUUGAUUUUGGAGGAAAACUGAAGCACUCGGGCAUGUAGGAAACAUUGAAAAUGUUAUCAUAGUUAGUUCUUUGAUAGAAGUAUAUUAAUGUUGAACUGCAAACUCAAUCCAAAUUACGUCUGCCAAGAGUAAUAAAAUCAGAUACGUUAUUUGGAGGUUGAUAAUCAAUUUACUUCAUCUACCUUCCAACCUUGUUUCUGUUCCGCACUUGGAAACGUUCUCUGACUGGUGAAAUAGCCGUUUUUUAGCAAAGGAAGCAAGGCCUGUGCACAGCCCUCAACUUCUGACUGGUCCCUGUCUGCAUCACUGUGAGAGCAUUUUUGCACUAAAUUUGUGUAAACUCUUUAAAGUCUUAGUUUCUCUCAGCUGUAUUUUGAUCUCUUGAAGUGGACUAGUAUUUUCACUAGGAAACAAAAUAGGUUUCUCAGUUACCAACUCUUUAUCCAGUGUGGAAAGAUGUAACUUCUGCCAAUUGGUUGCAUAAGAAAUACAGUAAAUUGCUACUGCUUUUUUUUUCUUUUCUUUUUUUUUCACAUGUUGCAGGGUUCUUUCUUUUCCUUAGUUUACAAGCAUGACAUAGUUUACUGUAUUGGCAGUUGAGGGAGGUUUGAUUCUGAGUCACUUCACCUUGUAGGUGUGGUUGUAUCUGAAGGUUUCCCACUGUGCGUGCUUAAGUGUGUUUAUUAAAAGCUGCCAACAAAAAUGAGGCAAUGCACCAUUAUCUUCUGAUUGUACUCUCUUCUUGGUUUCCCAUGUACUUAAAAUUCUUCUGUGAAGCUGAGAGCUUACUGAGUUGGGUGGCUAUAGGACACACAGUAUAUUCAAUAUUUGGCUAUACAUAUCAAUAAAAGCAAAGUUCUUUGUUUCUUGGGACCAUGUGUCUGCAAUGAAGCUAGACCCAGUUUACAUUAGCUUAAAGUGUUAGAUUAAUUUAAUUAUUUAUCUUUCGCAUGUCACCAGAUUGAUACAUUGUGAUCCUUAAGCAGGCACCCUUUUGGUUGUAUAAGGUGUUUCUGUUUAGUAUUUUAUAUCCUGCCUCAUGCUGCACUUCUGAGAGACUGGUAGAUCUAACUGGGAGAUGCACACUGUGAUCCUCUAUGCAGACGUCAGCAGUAGAUUUCUUUGUUUUCAGUAAGUGAUUACUGGUCAAGUUUUUCUUGAAGAUGCUUUGAAAAACUACUGUUGCUGUCCAAGUCAGGAAUGUUGAAAAUGAUGUCUUUCAAAGCAGACUCAUUAGCAGAUACGAACCAUGAAGAAGUAGAUUUCAGUGGUAUCAGUGUUUUGUGGGGUUUUUUGUUUGGUUUGGGUUGGAUUUCUUUGUUUGUUUUUAACAUAUUAGUAAUACAAGUUUUGAGUUCCCCAUGGAGUAGAUUUUUCAACAAAUGCAAGUCUAGGCUAUUCUAAAAUAAUACACAGUAGCCCUAAGUCUUGAAAAUUCAGUUCAAAACUGGUGUUGCUCCCAGAUAAGACAGUGAAAUUCUUGACUCUGUUCAAGGCAUUAAAUUUUUCUAACUUGUUCAAACAUGACUCAUGCAUUGGAAAGGUGCUUCCCUGCACAGAUACAGAAGUUUGUAAGUGCAGCAGUUUGUAGUUGGGAAUUUUGAUGGUAAAGACAAAGAAACAAGGUCUUAGGAGUACACUAUUUUCCUCUUUUUUUUUUUUUUUUUUUGCCUGAAUCAAGUUUGCCUUGUUCUUUUCUGUUCAGAAAUGAUUGGGUUUUUUUUUAUUUGGGGUUUGUUGUUUAUGGUUUGGUUUUUGUUGUUGUUUUUGUUGGGUUUUUUG